AGUGAACGCUGGCGGUAGGCCUAACACAUGCCAGUCGAACGGCAGCACAGUAAGAGCUUGCUCUUACGGGUGGCGAGUGGCGGACGGGUGAGGAAUACAUCGGAAUCUACUUUUUCGUGGGGGAUAACGUAGGGAAACUUACGCUAAUACCGCAUACGACCUACGGGUGAAAGCAGGGGAUCUUCGGACCUUGCGCGAUUGAAUGAGCCGAUGUCGGAUUAGCUAGUUGGUGGGGUAAAGGCCCACCAAGGCGACGAUCCGUAGCUGGUCUGAGAGGAUGAUCAGCCACACGGGAAAUGAGAGACGGUCCAGACUCCUACGGGAGGCAGGAGUGGGGAAUAUUGGACAAUGGGCGCAAGCCUGAUCCAGCCAUAACGCGUGGGUGAAGAAGGCCUUCGGGUUGUAAAGCCCUUUUGUUGGGAAAGAAAAGCAGCAGGUUAAUACCCCGCUGUUCUGACGGUACCCAAAGAAUAAGCACCGGCUAACUUCGUG
rnacentral:rRNA from 1 species